GCCAGACUCCUACGGGAGGCAGCAGUGGGGAAUAUUGCACAAUGGGGGAACCCUGAUGCAGCGACGCCGCGUGGGUGAAGGAGUAUUUCGGUAUGUAAAGCCCUAUCAGCAGGGAAGAACAAUGACGGUACCUGACUAAGAAGCACCGGCUAAAUACGUGCCAGCAGCCGCGGUAAUACGUAUGGUGCAAGCGUUAUCCGGAUUUACUGGGUGUAAAGGGAGCGUAGACGGCAUAGCAAGUCUGAAGUGAAAGCCCAAGGCUCAACCAUGGGACUGCUUUGGAAACUGUUAAGCUAGAGUGCUGGAGAGGUAAGCGGAAUUCCUAGUGUAGCGGUGAAAUGCGUAGAUAUUAGGAAGAACACCAGUGGCGAAGGCGGCUUACUGGACAGUAACUGACGUUGAGGCUCGAAAGCGUGGGGAGCAAACAGGAUUAGAUACCCCAGUACCA
rnacentral:rRNA from 1 species